rnacentral:rRNA from 1 species
UCGCCCUUAAAGUUUGAUCCUGGCUCAGGAUGAACGCUGGCGGCGUGCUUAACACAUGCGGGUCGAACGGGGGUAACUUCGUUGAGAUCUUCGGAUCAAAGCGAAAUAUCUCGAGUGGCGGACGGGCGAGCAACACGUGAGUAACCUGCCUUUUGCUGGGGAAUAACUGAGGGAAACCAUGGCUAAUACCGCAUGUUGUGCAUGACAGGCAUCUGUUAUGUAUGAAAGGAGAACUCCGGCAGAAGAUGGGCUCGCGUCCGAUUAGGUAGUUGGUGGGGUAACGGCCUACCAAGCCCCGCGAUCGGUAGCCGGACUGAUAGGUCGAACGGCCACAUUGGGACUGAGACACGGCCCAGACUCCUACGGGAGGCAGCAGUGGGGAAUAUUGGGCAAUGGGCGAAAGCCUGACCCAGCGACGCCGCGUGAAGGACGAAGGCCUUCGGGUUGUAAACUUCUUUGGGGAGGGACGAAAAUGACGGUACCUCCAGAACAAGCCACGGCUAACUACGUGCCAGCAGCCGCGGUAAUACGUAGGUGGCAAGCGUUAUCCGGAUUUACUGGGUGUAAAGGGCGCGCAGGCGGCCCCAAAAGUCAGAUGUGAAAGAUCAAGGCUUAACUUUGACAUGUCAUCUGAAACUUUGGGACUUGAGUAUCAGAGGGGAAAGCGGAAUUCCUGGUGGAGCGGUAAAAUGCGCAGAGAUCAGGAGGAACACCGGUGGCGAAGGCGGCUUUCUGGCUGACAACUGACGCUGAGGCGCGAAAGCGUGGGGAGCAAACAGAAUUAGAUACCCUGGUAGUCCACGCCGUA